rnacentral:rRNA from 1 species
UACAGAGGGUGCGAGCGUUGUUCGGAAUUAUUGGGCGUAAAGGGCGCGUAGGCGGCUUGGCAAGUGGAUGGUGAAAUCCCUCGGCUUAACCGAGGAACUGCCGUCCAAACUGCUUCGCUUGAGACCGGGAGAGGUGAGUGGAAUUCCCAGUGUAGCGGUGAAAUGCGUAGAUAUUGGGAGGAACACCAGUGGCGAAGGCGGCUCACUGGACCGGUACUGAUGCUGAUGCGCGAAAGCGUGGGGAGCAAACGGG